rnacentral:tRNA from 1 species
GGGUAUAUAGCUCAGUGAUAGAGCACAUGCUUAGCAUGCAUGAGGUCCUGGAUUCAACCCCUAGUACCUCCA